CUCUCCGUCUCUGUCUACUGAAAAUCCAAGGAGAAAAAUAAAACCCUAGACUUCGAUUUCACGAUCCAAAUCAAGAUAAAUUGAACCAUAAAAUUUCGAUUUUGUUCUUUAACAUUGUGUUUUCAUUUGCUUUUAAUCAUAAUCAGUGUGUUAAUACAUUUAGAUUUCAUGGAGAAAAUUCAAUUUCGACUUCAUUUAGAAUGUUGCAGGUCAGGGUUUCGAAAUUGGAUCAUCGAAGAAAAAGUUUCUGAGCUACCUAGGGGUUGUUAAAUGUCUUGCACUAUGUGCUACCUACAUCAAGGAUUUUUUUUUUCCUUAAAUUUUUAUGCUCAUUGCUAGCCCUAUAACAUGGACCGAGCUGAAGAUCUAGUAAGGGAGAUGGAACAAAAAUGAAUUAAUGCUCCAAUUGACAUAUAUCAUACUAUGAUGGAUGGUUAUUUGCCGUGUUUAAAUAGCUAUAUGUAUACAAACGUAAACAUCUUAUGCCAUACCUGGUCAGUAUUGCCAGCUCAAAGGUGUUGCCACGUUAACUUUUUUGUGCUCUACUUGGUUUUUACCUCUCAAAUGUGUCUGAAACUCCAAGGAGUAUGGUAGAUUAACUUCAUAAAGAUACACUGAUGCUAUUUCUAUCUUGACUGUUCUUAUAUGCUCUCUUUCAAGGGGCUUCCGUUGGUCCUGUUAUUCAGAUGGCUAUGGAUAUUGACUUUAGGCUAGUAUAGAUGGCUAAGCAUUGUUGUUUGUUUGUUGCUGUGGGUGUCUAAGCUAAAUUAACUUGGUAAAGUCAAUGCAUUGCAUCUAACUGUUGGCAUUGCCCUUUAGGCACUUGUCCUAGGUUGACAUGUUUGAGGAUGAGAGUCUUUUGGUGAAUAAUUUUGGUUAUUUGCUUAUUUGCAGUUGUGCUGAUAAUCUGGACAUUGGUAGAGUAGAGGAAUUUUGAUGCACUUGCUAAGCUUUUAGCUAGUAUCCAAGAGGCUUAUCACCAGGCUUCGGAAUAUGGAGACUUUCAUUUGGGUGAUCUUUAUUUAGUAAAAAUAAAUGGCAAUGGUUUUUGUACAGUUGUAUACCAGCGGUGGAGGAGAGACUUGAAGAAAAAGUUGACAAUCUCGUAUCCUUGUGUCAUGCUUAAUGUCGAUGUCGCAAGAAACAACAAAAAUGAUCAAUACCAGACACUCGAAGAUCCUAUUAAUAAGACAUAUACUACACAAAGCGAAUGCUCUAUUGAAUUUGAAGUGGAUGGUCCUUAUAAGGCGAUGAUCCUACCAGCUUCAAAGGAAGAGGUGAUAUUAAUUAAGAAGCGGUAUGCUGUUUUUAAUGAUGACAGAACCAUUGCGGAGCUUAAAGGUUUUGAAAUCAAGCGCAGAGGUGAGCUUAAGCUCAUCAAAGUCUUCCAGGUUUGCAUUGUUUCUUCUGCGGUUUCCUUGGUUUUGUGUGUUCAUUUUUGUACUCAGUUUGUAUCUUAUUCUUAUUUUUCCUUCUCCAACAUUUUCAAUAUCCGUCAGUCCCUGCACUGUCUAUCAAUCAUGAUAAACUAUUCGUCUAUGUACAUAUCUGAUGCCCAAAUGUUCAUGACAUCAUUUGCUUCUGUCAUGUGAUUGUUAUUCUGCAUCAUAAUUAUAGGAAUUAGAUAACAUGCAAGUGUGCCAUUGUCCAACACUAGCAUUAUUCUUGGAAGAGAUCCAGACAGGGGUGCUGGGAGAUUACAAAUAAUUGGUGGCAGAAGAUUUAUGUCACAUGUGGCCCAUAUCUCUCUCCCUCUCUCUCUCUCUGUCUCUCAUCAUACCAUGACAAUUUUAGUUUUAUGUAAACUAACAAAACAACGGAAUAGUUUGUUGUGCAAGUCCUAUGAUACUCCACUAUGUGGCUUAUGCA